rnacentral:rRNA from 1 species
CUUAGAAAGUGGCGAACGGGUGAGUAACGCGUGGGUAACCUGCCCUAUGGAAAGGAAUAAGCCUCGGGAAACUGGGAGUAAUGCCUUAUAAUACAUUGAAGUCGCAUGGCUUUGAUGUUAAACGCUCCGGUGCCAUAGGAUGGACCCGCGUCCCAUUAGCUAGUUGGUGAGAUAACAGCCCACCAAGGCGACGAUGGGUAACCGGUCUGAGAGGGCGAACGGUCACACUGGAACUGAGACACGGUCCAGACUCCUACGGGAGGCAGCAGUGGGGAAUAUUGCGCAAGUUGGGGGCAACCCUGACGCAGCAAUACCGCGUGAGUGAAGAAGGUUUUCGGAUCGUAAAGCUCUGUUAUUGGGGAAGAAAAAAGACGGUACCCAAGAAGAAAGUCCCGGCUAACUACGUGCCAGCAGCGGC